rnacentral:rRNA from 1 species
UACGUAGGGGGCAAGCGUUGUCCGGAAUCAUUGGGCGUAAAGAGCGCGUAGGCGGUCCGGUAAGUCCGCUCUGAAAGUCCGGGGCUCAACCCCCGGAAGGCGGGCGGAUACUGUCGGGCUAGAGUCCGGAAGAGGCGAGUGGAAUUCCUGGUGUAGCGGUGAAAUGCGCAGAUAUCAGGAGGAACACCAAUGGCGAAGGCAGCUCGCUGGGACGGUACUGACGCUGAGGCGCGAAAGCGUGGGGAGCAAACAGG